rnacentral:rRNA from 1 species
AGAGUUAAAUAGUACGUGAAAUUGUCAAAAGGGAAACGCUUGAAACCAGUAUUGCUUGCAGGAAAUCAUCCGUUCCGUCAGGUGCGGUGCACUUUUCUGUAUGCAGGUCAACAUGAGUUUUCCGUGCGGUACAAAGCCUUGGGAAGGUAGCGCUGAUCUCGGUUGGCGUGUUAUAGCCCAAGGAAAUGCCGGGUGGAAGACUGAGGAAUGCAGUGGAUUUUGUUAGUCUCUCCGCUGCCAUUGAAAACGUCGCCUCAGACAGCUUGCUGAUUGAGAUGGCGCCUAGGUGUCAGUUGGGAUGACCUGCAAUCUGCUUUGGAUGCUGACGAAAUGGUUUUAAACGACC